rnacentral:tRNA from 1 species
GGAGCUGUGGUGUAAUGGUAACACAGAGGUUUAGCCAGCCGUUAUUCCGGGUUCAACUCCCGGCGGUUCCA